GACGAACGCGGGCGGCGUGCUUAACACAUGCAAGUCGAACGGAAAGGCCUGCUUUCCCUUGUGGAUUGCGGGUACUCGAGUGGCGAACGGGUGAGUAACACGUGAGUGAUCUGCCCCCAACUUGGGUAUAAGCCUGGGAAACUGGGUCUAAUUCCCGAUAGGACUGCAGGGUGGUGCCUGUGGUGGAAAACGAUUUUCUAGUGGUUGGGGAUGAGCUCGCGGCCUAUCAGCUUGUUGGUGGGGUAAUGGCCUACCAAGGCGGCGACGGGUAGCCGGCCUGAGAGGGUGGACGGCCACAUUGGGACUGAGAUACGGCCCAGACUCCUACGGGAGGCAGCAGUGGGGAAUAUUGCACAAUGGGCGGAAGCCUGAUGCAGCGACGCCGCGUGGGGGAUGACGGCCUUCGGGUUGUAAACUCCUUUCGACCGCGAGGAAGCCACCUGGUUGGAAGGGUGGUGACGGUAGUGGUAGAAGAAGCACCGGCUAACUACGUG
rnacentral:rRNA from 1 species